AAGCCAAUGCAAAAACUGAGUGAAGAACAGACUUUAUCUGAAUGAGGAACAACUCAUUGUGGUGGAUGAGGACCCAACGUGGAAGUUACACUUCUCGAGCUUGGCUCACGAGUUAGGCUGCUCCUUGAUGAAACAGAAAAUCGAGAACAUUUUGUGUGGAAGGCACUUAGUGAUGAGAAGGCGACACCUGGCUCUCUCCUCUCAUCAUUGGUGGCUCACUCCUACAGUCAUCAACCUGUGUUUAGAUUGUCACCUGAAGAAAGGAAAAACAGACUGUCCUGGAUGUUGAUUCUGCUGUUUUGAUGGAAAAAGAAAAAAAAAUUUUUUUUUUUUUUUUUAAGGCAAAUGGCAAACAACAAAACUUUAGAGAAAGCAGGCGUGGGGAGAGCCCAGUGCAGUUUCAUAAUGGGUAUGAAUAGUUAUUUUUGCUGCUUUCCUUUUCUUUCUUUCUGGGUUUUGAUGUGGAUCUCUUUCUAUUUGUUCAGGAAACUGUGACGUGUGUUCUGGGCAGGGUUUGAGGUUUUGGAACCUUUUCUAAAAGGGACAGAGAGCACCCUGCUGCAUUUCCUAAUCGUGGGCUGGCGUGUUGGAGUGAGCUGGUCAUGAUGCAGAAGGUCCUCAAGUGCAGUAGCCUGGCCCUGGCUCUCGCCCUCAUCCUGGUUUUGGAAUCUCCAGUCCAAGGUAAGACCCAGGAAACUUGUUCCCCUGUAACCUUUUCCAUAAGCCCCAGGGACCAUGCAAAUGAUAAUGACUAUUUUAAUACAAGGUACUGACGGUAUUAUAUUGUGGGAAAGGAGGCAAAGACGAAAGAUUAAACAUGACCAAACUCCUUUGUGUGAGUUCAGUUGAGUCUGGUACCAAGAAAAAUUAAACUCUGAGGCAGGUGCAGCCAUAUAAACUCUUACAAUGAUUGAAAUGUGCUGUUUCACUUUGGAUGAAAAUGUGUGGUUUAUUAAUUUUUAAAGGUCAGGAAAGGAAUAAGGAAAAGGACUCACAUGCCUGAUCCAUGGAGAUGGCACCUUGGAAUGUUCUGGAAUUUCUACCUAUUCCUGGAUGUCUACACAAACCCCAAGUUGGAAUGCAUUGUGGUGGUGUCAUCAUUUUAACAUUGGGAAAUACUAUUUUUUAAUUAGGGUAAAUUUGACAGUGUGUAUUUUUUUUCUUUUUCUAAUUUGUCACUGUAAAUUUGAUUAUAGGUAGACAUAGUUAAUGUAAACCUUAGGUUUUAAAGAAAGCCCAAAGAAUAUUAGGAUUUGAGCUAUUGCUCAGAGAAACAUCACAUUUGGAAAUAUCUUCUUAGUUUGAUCUAUCAUUUAGGGCUCUUUAGUUGGACUGAAACAAUUUAAAUCUUUUAAUGACUAAGAAAACGAAAAUGCUCAGUUUAUAAGAAAAAGGCAAUUUCUUUUGCUUUUGGUAAAUAAAAAAAAAUCAUAAUAAGGCAGAAGGUCCCAGCCUAACAAGUAGAUGACAGAAUUUAUAGUAGGAAAACAUUAAGUUCCCCCAAAUGGUAAAGGAAAUGUUGAGUCACAGUGACACGCUUGUCCUGGAUUUGUUUCUUCGAAGUGACUUCUAACUGUCAUGUUCUUACUUCCUGUGGAAAUGAAAUCUUACAAAUGAUCUCAAAGAAAUUCCUCAGAUAUUGGAAAUUCAUAAAGUCAUCAUCUUCUAGUUAUUGCAUUAGAGGAAAAACAGCAAGUAAUACUACUGCAACAGUUCCCUUCAUCUUCUUAGUUUUAAAGUGUAAAAGUAGAGAACGAGCUUUUCUUGGAUCCUUUUGGGAAAAGCUACAGCCUGAUGUAAUGAUUCCCUAACACCCGUGUGCUUUGACAAGAUUAAGUGAGGUUCAUAUUUGUGGCACAGACUUGAGUGAUGCAUUGGUGCUGAGUAGAUCCCUACCUAAGUUUUUCUAUCUUCAAAAUUUCCCCAAAGUGUCACAUUUUUCACUGACUCAAUGGGUAAGACCAGAACAAAAACGAAAACUUUCCUUUUAUGUGUAUGCAGAAGAAAGAAACCAUCUUGAAAUUGUUGAAAAUACUAACAUUUAUGUAGAUUUCGAUCUUCGUUAGAAAAGGAAACCAAAAAGAAGACAAUGAAUGAACUGAAAAAUGAGGGUAUUUCUGAGGGGAACUUGGGCUUCGGCUCAAGGACACGUGCUCACAUUGAACUUGAGGGGAAAAGAGAUGCCUUGUGCGUGUUAGUGAUGCAAUAAGAGGCCAAGGGCAGAGCCAGGACUCCAUUUCACCACACCCCACCUGAUGCCAGAGAGAGGGGAUAACAUCCUCCCCCAGCUUAAAAAAACAAACAAACAAAACUUACCAUGCCCUGCGCAUGCCUGUAAUCCCAGCGGCUUGGGAAGCUGAGGCAGGAGGAUCACAAGUUCAAGGCCUGUCUCAGCAAUUUAGUGAGGCCCUAAGCAAUUUAGUGAGAGCCUGUCUCAAAAUUUAAAAAUAUAAAAAGGGCUGGGGAUGUGGUUCAGUGGUUAAGUGUCCCAGGGUUUAAUCCCUGGUACAAAAAAAAAGAAAAGAAAAAAAAAGUUUACUGAAUUUACUGGUUUUAGAUUAGCAAGGCUUUUGGUGUGCUUUUGCUGAGCACCUUCAACCCCUCUUAGGUUCCUGCAUUCAUCUGCUUGGCCCGCCAUAACAAAGUAACACAGACCACAUGACUUACACAACAGAAAUUCAUUUCCUCACAGUUCUGGAGUCUAGCAUCCAAGAUCAAGGUUUUGCUAGGUUGGUUUCCUUCUGACGCCUUUCUCUUUGGCUUAUAGAUGCUGCCUUCCCCUUUGGUCUUCACGUGGCCUCUCUUGCACACAUCUGUGUUCUAACUGUCUAUUCUGAUAAGGACACCAGUCAUAUUGGAUUGGGGCUACCCUAAUGAUUUCAUCUGAACCACAUCUGCAAUGAUCCUCUUUCCAAAUUAUGUCACAUUAUGAGGUUAGGACUUGAACAUAUGAAUUCUGCAAGGGAUAUACUUCAGCUAUCACAUAAUUGUUUUUAAAAACCCAAUACACACACGAAUGUAAAAUUGUCCACUGAGUGGAAAGAAAUGGAAGUGCCGUGACGUGUGCAGAGGAUGGAGAGCACAGAUGGCUAAUCUAGUUCAUGUAGGCUCCACGGGGUUAUUAAUGAGGUCUGAAUCCUAGCGCUGUGUUACAGCCUUUCUUUUCAAAGAUACCCGUAAAUAAAGAAAAUGGAACAUUCAUGAGCAGGUGUGACCAAGGGACCAGGGCUAGCCCGUGUGUUCCCACCACACUGUCUCCUAGAGCACAGUACUGAUCCCACCCACAUGUGCAGCUGUUUGUAAAGGGCAUUCACACCCAUUCUCUGGUAAGGAUCAUCACAUUCCUUGGGAGGAGGAAUUAGCACCAAUUGGUAGAGAAAAAAAAACUGGACCUGAAAUUCAUCAUCUCAUUUGCUCUUUACAUCAGCCUCUUGCAAAAUAUGUGUGGGUUUUGCCCAAGGCCCAUUGCAACUGACUAAUGGCAGAAGUAGUCAUUCCAACGUCAAGUCUAGCAUUAACUUGUUGUUGAUUAGAAGUUUUUUAAAUUUAAAACAACAAAAAAAAAUAUCACUGGGCAUCAUGGUGCCUGCCUGUCAUCCUGGUAGGUUGGGAGGCUGAGACAGGAGAAUUGAAAGUUCAAAGCCAGCCUCAGCAAUUUAGUGAGGUCUUAAGCAACUUAGGGAGACCCUGUCUCUAAAUAAAAAGGGGCUGGGGGGAGGGGCUGGGGUCGUGGCUCAGCGGUAGAGCGCUCACCUAGCACAUGCAAUGCGCUGGGUUCGAUCCUCAGCACCACAUAAAAAUAAAUAAAUAAAAUAAAGGUAUUGUAUCCAACUACAACUAAUCUAUAUACGUGUGUGUGUGUGUGUGUGUGUAUUUAUAAAGGGUGGGGGGGUGCUGGGGAUGUGGCUCAGUGGCUGAGUGCCCCUGGGUUCAAUCCCUAGUAUUAAAACAAAAACAAAAAACAAUCGAAAACACCAAAACCCUUUCUUUGACUAUUGCCCUUGCUAUGUUUACUACUGACUUGAGGGAGAAAUUGAAACUAAACUUGGAGUUUUUUAUAACUUGUCAAACCAUGCAAGAGUCGGAAGUUUAUCCAUCUUGUGGAAUUGUAGACCAGUAGGAAGUAACGUCAACUUAGAUAAUGACAGUUGCUUAAAUGCACCCAUUUUGAGUGAAGCAAAUAUCCCCCCCCCUUUAUGACAGUUUCUGCUUAAGCUUCUGUAACACACUUGCAAUACGUUUCCAUUAAGAAUAGGAAGUUAGUAAAUAGUGAUUAUGUUAGGGGAAAAAGUGUUACUAUCAUAUAAAAAAAUACAGAGGCACUACUGGAGAAAGUUGCUUGAUAACAUUUACUCAUAGAGUGUAUGUUGAUCAAGCAGAGCUAGUGAGGGUAUGUGUGUGGGUGUGGGGGAAGUGGAGGACAGUGAGGGAAGGGAUUUUUUCUUUUUUUUUGCCGGGGGUACAGGGGAUUGAACCCUUUUUAUUUUUUGAGACAGGUCUCACUAAGUUGCUGAGGCUGGCCUUAAACUUGUAAUCCUCCUCCCUCAGCCUCCUGAGUUGCUAGGACUAUAGGUGUGCAUCACCUUGUCCAGCUGGAAGGAAUUCUUAAUAAAAAUCAUACUUUUCCCUGGAAUCCAUACACAAUGAACCAGCAGAUCCUCUGUGAAGCAGAUCCUUCUAUGAAGAUGUUUCUGACUAGGAGAGCAUUUUCUUUUAUUUUUAAGAUUAUGAUAAUCGUGAGAAAUUUAUCUCAAGUAAAAGAAAGUCAAGGUACUCUCACAACUUCAGGAGUUAGAACCUUGACUUUUUACAUCCUGCCAGCACCUGUGGAUAACUAUGUCAGGAAUUUUGUGUCUAUAACUGCUCUUUCUUUAUUUUUUUAAUUGUAGUCGGACACAAUGCCUUUGUUUUAUUUAUUUACUUUUAUGUGGUGCUGAGGAUCGAACCCAGGGCCUUGCACGUGCUAAGUGAGCACUCUACUGCUGAGCCACAACCCCAGCCCUUGUUCUUUAUUUUAAAAUAUCUUCAACAAAUUCAAUAGACUUUUGGAGUGGGAGACUUCUAUCUCUGAUUUUUUUUAAUGUUUAUUUUUUAGUUUUAGGUGGGCACAAUAUCUUUAUUUAUUUAUUAAUUUUUUAUGUGGUGCUGAGAAUCGAACCCAGUGCCUCAUGCUUGCUAGGCGAGCGUGCUACCAGUGAGCAACAUCCCCAGUCCUAUCUCUGAUUUUUAACAGCUUUACUAAGAAGGAGUUCAUAUACCAUACAAUUCACAUUUUAGGGUAUAUAGUUUGAGCCAGGGGUGUGUCUUAGCAGCAGAGCACUUGCCUAGCAUGUAGAAGCCCUACGUUCAAUCCCCAGCACUGCAAAAAAAAAAAAAAAGUAAGGUCUAUAAUUCAGUUAUUUUUAGUGUAUUCACAGAACUGUGCAACCAUCCCCAUAGUUGAUUUUUAGAACAUCUUCUAAUCUGGGCACAGUCAUGCAUGCCUGUAAUCCCAGCGGCUCUGGAGGCUGAGGCAGGAGGAUCCAGAGUUCAAAGCCAUCCUCAGCAACAGGGAGGAAGAGUUAAGCAACUCAAAGUUCUGAACUUGGGGGCUAAUUUUGUAUUUUAGAAAUAAAUGUUGGGGGGGGGUUGGGGUUGUGGCUCAGCAGUAGAGCGCUGACUCGCACGUGCAAGACCCUGGGUUCGAUAUUCAGCACCACAUAAAAAUAAAUAAGUGAAAUAAAGGUAUUGUUUCCAACUACAACUAAAAAAUAAAUUUGUCAAAGUUAGAGCUGCUCUACUAGUGAAAAGAUGCAGUCUUUCACGGGGGUACCCCCUCAAAGCAUUCAUUUAGGGGUACGGGGGGAGUGCUUGCCUAGCAUGCAUAAGGCCUGGAGUCUGAUCCCCAGCACCAAAAAAAUAAAUAAACUAAAUAAAUUUAAUUUUUCUGUUUAACUUCCUAUCCAAGAAAAUAUUUUCUCACCUUGCUAUUCAAUGUAUUUCAAACUCUUGAAAUAUGACAAGUCCAAAUUGACACAUGCUGUGAAUAUGAAGUAUAUUUUAUUUUGAAGACUUAGUUUGAAAAAUAAGAAUGUAAAAUUCCCUGGUAAUAACUGUUAUCCUGGGGCUGGGGUGGAGCUUAGUGACCGAGCACUUGCCUAGCAUAUUCAAGUCCUUGGAUUCGCCCCCAGUAUUGAAAAAACAAAACAAAACAAAAAAACAACUUUUAUAUUGAUUAUGUGUUAAGUGAUAAUAUCCUAAAACAUGAGUUAAAUAGACUAUAUUAAAAUUAAUUUUACCUGUUUUUGAAACAUCUCUGAUUGCAUUAGCUGGCUUCAUGUUUCAAUUGGAUAGUGAGGUCUGGACCCCAUAGGUGUGAAGACAUCGCCCUCUGCUGGGGGAGAUGUUUGAUUUUUGUCUCACCAACUAGGAGUUUCCUAAGCCCUAAUUAGAUGCCACAUUAUUACUGCCUCAGGAAAGAAUCAGAAAAGGAGAUAAAAUAUAUUCAAUAUCUAUUAUGUGCAAAAGCUUGUGUUAGAUGCUUCACAUAAUUUUAUUUCACCUAAACAGAAACUCGUAUUUUUAUUUAUUUAUUUAUUUUUAUUUUUGGUGUUGAGGAUUGAACUCAGGGACUCUUUACCAUGGGAGCGAUAUCUGCAGUCCUUUUUGAGACAUGAUCUUGCUAAAUUGCUGAGGCUGGCCUUGAACCAGAGAUCCUCUGCCUCAGCCUCCCAAGUUGCUGGGAUUACAGGUGUGCACCGCCAUGCUCAGCUAACUGGGAACGCUUUGCUGUGGUAUUUCUCAUAUUUUUGUGUAAUUUUCCCCAAUAUCUGUUUGAAAGAUGAUAAUUUGAGAAUUUGAAAGGUACUAAGUUGUCGAAUGGUAACUCAGAUUUAAAUUCUGGACUCUCUACAAUCCUCAAGUUGUAGGUUGUUGUAAUUUUCAUCAGAGAAACUAGCAUUUGAAAAGCUCUGCCAUGGUGCUAGUUGCCAUUCUAAGAACCUAACAUUCACAUCUCACUGUUACAUCCAUGAUGGUUCCCAUUUUACAGAUGAGGAAGUUGAGGUGUGGAGAGGUUAAGUUGGCCACGGUCAUAUGGCCAGUAAUGGGCAGACCUCGUGAUGUCAUCUUGCCUGCCUUAUCCCCAGAGCGUUUUGGACAAUUAGUUCCCACACCAGACUCUGUAAGCUCUACUCAGGAACCAUGGGGAAGAUUGUGAUCGAACAGAGAAGAGAAAGGAAGCAAACUGGCUAACUAAAUGUGGAAUAUUUACUCUUUCCAAGUCAGUCUUUUAAAUGUUUAUGUUUUAGAGGAAUGUUAUCUAUUAUAGCAAGUUAGAAAAGAAAAAAAAUCAUCAAAGAGUCUACCACCAGUUAUUUUUGUGUAAUUUCUUCCAUUUUCCACAGUAUCUUUUUUUUUUUAAACAAGUUCUCUCUCUCUUUUUUUUUUAAAGGGAGAGUGAGAGGGAGAGAGAGAAUUUUUAAUAUUUAUUUUUUAGUUCUUGGCGGACACAACAUCUUUGUUUGUAUGUGGUGCUGAGGAUCGAACCCGGGCUGCACGCAUGCCAGGCGAGCGCGCUACCGCUUGAGCCAUAUCCCCAGCCCCUUUCCACAUUAUCUUUUCACUCAUUUUUUUUUAUUUAUUUGCUUACUUAUUUAAUUAUUUUGGUACUGCGAAUUGAACCCAGGGGUGCUCAACCACCGAGCCACAUCCACAGUCCCUUUUUAUUUUUAUUUUGAGACAAUGUCUUCCUAAGGUGCUGAGGAUCUUGCUAAGUUCCUGGCUUUGAACUUGCAAUCCUCCUGCCUCAGCCUCCGGGAUUAUAGGCACCUCAGCUCCUGGCAACAACUACUGUUUAGCUGUUUGGUUAGUGAGCACCUUGUCAUUUUUCCAAGCAUUUAUAUUGUUUUGUGCUGGGCUUUUCUGCUUUGCAAGAAUUGCAGCCAUGCUUCUUCUUGCUAGGUGAUUACUAGUGCUCGAAGCACUUGUUUGAAUAAAAUGUGCGCUGGGGCGGGGAGGAGAUGAACUGUUUGCAGGAUGGCGUGGUAUUUCUCACCAUCAAGCUUCUGUCCUUGCUAAACUGAGUCAUGAAGAAGGUGUUUCAUGAAUUAAUAAAGGGUCCUAUAUAUCAUAUCACCUUAGAAUACCAGAUUUGGAGACUUUUCUAUAGAAUUUAAAUUCAAAGAAGCAGUGAGAUACUUGACUAUUGCAACCUCUCUGUUCCUCUGUGAAUAGGCUAGUCUUCUUGUGAAAUCUCUGAAGAGAAAGAGUUUUGAUUUACUUUUCAUUCCCAAGAAUCCUGUAUGGUCCUAAAACAUAAGCCCCAGCACUCUCUAAUGGCUUAGAUACUUCUCAGUGCACUUCUUAACCUUUCUGAACCAGAUUUGUCUCAUCUCUCUAAAGAGGCUGACUUUGGGAUCAGGUAUAGGUUGGAAUCCUGGAUCUUCUACUAAGCUCCUUGGUGGCCUCAAUUUUCCAAUGUGAAAAUCGGAGAUAAUAGCACAAAAAUAAUAAUAGUCCCAGGCAUGAUAGCACACACCUGGAUUCCUAGCAACUUGGGAGGCUAAGGCAGGAGGAUCACCAAGAUCAAGGCCAGCCUGGGGUACUUGGUGAGGCCCUAAGCAACUUAGUGAGACCCUGUCUCAAAAUAAAAAAUUAAAAGGAUGGGGAUGUGGCUCAGUGGUUGAGCACCUCUGGAUUCAAUCUCCAGUAAACCCUACACAUAAAUAAUAAUAAUAAUUAAUGUUAUCCAUUGUUUACUAUGUACCUGGCACUAUGUUAAAGUUUUCUCAUGAUUUUUUUGAUUUAAUUUUUAUUUUGGGGUAUACCAGGGAUUGAACCCAGGGGUACUCAACCACUGAGCCACAUCCCUAGCCCUAUUUUAUAUUUUAUUUAGAGACAGGGUCUCACUGAGUUGCUUAGUGCCUUGCUUUUGCUGUAGUUGGCUUUGAACUCGUGAUUCUCCUGCCUCAGUUUCCUGAGCUGCUGGGAUUACAGGCGUGCACCACUGCACCCGGCUUCAAUUUAAUUUUGUGACAAGCUUAUGAUACUAUUAAGACCUGCAUUUUACAGCAGGGGUUCCAGGAAGUUUAGGUUUCAUAACUAGCCAGUAGCAGAGUCAGGAUUUGCUUGCAGGCAGCUGACAUCAAUAUUAAACUCUCUGCUACUUUAUGGGAAUGCUGUGGGGACAAAAAACAUUUACAAAAGGCUAGUGCAGAGUGGGAGCUGCUAUUUUGUUAAUGGACAUUAAACCUGUCUGUGCUGCACCUUCUACCAAAUUUAGAAUCCAUUUAAUUUAAAAACUUCUGGUUUCAAUCCAUUUAAUUAACAACAGAGCAGUUCAAAGCUGUGGAAGAGAUACUUAUUUCUCACGGGUUCCUUGUUCGGGCAGGUUAUCCUAUGCGGAGAGCCAGGUACCAGUGGGUACGCUGCAGUCCCGACAGUAAUUCUGCAAACUGCAUUGAUGAAAAGGGACCCCUGUUCAACCUCCCUCCAGGCGAGUCUAACAGGAUCCUCCCUGCAAGGACUGACCCUUUUCCGUAAGUGAACUUUGAUUUUACAGAGGUUAUAGUUUCACAAUGUCUAGUGAAAUCUUGAAGUGGAAGUUGGAGGACCUCCACACCAAGCUUUAAGCUUCUGCUUUGGAAGUUUGGAUUUUACUGUGCAGUACUUGGUAGAACUGUACCAUAUACGCUGGUAUACAAGAUGAGCAAGUAUACAUAUUUUGUCUGUUUUUGCAAGGUUUGUUGUGGGUGACAGACAAGCAUUGAGUGCUUUUCACCAACAGAUAUUAAAAAUGACUAAAGAUUGUUUUAUUUAUGUACAUAGAGUAUAUUAUAUUAAAAUUCAAUUGGAGUCCAUCAGGUAUUCUAAUAAAUAAACAGUGUGCUACGUCAGUAAAAUAGAAUAUUAUUUAACUUAUUUAGCCAUGAAAGAAUGAAAUACUGAUAUAUGGCUGGGUGCAGGGAUGCAUGCCUGUAAUCCUAGUGGCUCAGGAGGCUGAGGCAGGAGGGUCACAAGUUAAAAGCCAGCCUCAGCAGCUUAGUGAGGCCCUAAGCAACUCAGCAAGACCCUGUCUCUAAAUAAAAUAUUAAAAAAGAAAAAAAAAAGGCUGGGGAUGUGGCUUAGUCAUUGAGCACCCCUGGGUUCAAUCCCCAGUACCAUAAAUAAAUAAAUAAAUAAACCUGGAAGUACCAAUAUCUGCUACAACAUAGGUGAGCCUUGAAAACAUUAAACAGAAGAAAGAAGCCAGUUACAAAAAGCCACAUAUUAUAUGAUACCAUUUACAUGAAAUGUCCAGAAUAGGUAAACCCCUAGAGACAGGAAGUAGAUUGCUGGUUGCCAGGGACUGAGGAGAGGGAUGACUAAGGAGUGAUUGCUACUGGGUAUGGUUUUGUGGGGGAGGAUGAUUAGAAAUGUCCUGGAAUUGGGGGUGAUUAAUAAAAUGGGAAAGAAAAAAAUAAAUGGCAUGCCAUGUAGAACAACCCAAACCCCUUCUUGAUCAACAAAGCCUGCUUAAACUUGCAAACAGUGCCAAUAGGAAUUCGUAAGUAACCAAACGUUGAAUUACAUAAGUCAUUUACUUUAGUGAAUAUCAAAAUUAUAUAGUUUAUAGCAAAGAUGGGUGAAAAAAAAUGAUUAUCAUCAAAGUUUAAAUCUUCAGGCUCAAACCUAGAUCAGAAUGAAACUUUGUAGUCCUGCCCUGUGUUCUUACUUUAAGUUUAUAGCAUGAAGUCUGAACUUAAUAUUGUAGCAUUCUCCAUUUCUUUAAGCCAUAGGUUUCACUAAUAAUUCAUUUAAAUCUAAAAUAUUAGAAGAAUAACUUAAAUUCUCCAAAACAACUCUUCUUCUUCUUCUUUUUUUUUUCCCUUUAACUGGGAAAGGAACCAGGGCCUUAUAUGUGCCAGGCAACCAUUCUACCAUUGAGCUACUUCUAGCCUCCUGCUUUUUAAAAAUUUUGAGACAGGGUCUCCCUAAGUUGCUGAGACUGCCCUUCCAUUUGCAAUCCUCCUGCCUCAGCCUCCCCAGUAGCUGGGACUACGGGCGUGAGCCACAACACCUAGCUCCAAAACCUCUCUUCACAUCAUUUCUUCUCUCUUAUAACCUCUGUGAUCUUCCCUUCCUGAAGCCAGUAACUUUGCUUCUCAUUCCAACACUCUGAUUUUCCUCCUGUCAUUAUAGAUGAAUGGUCUCUGCUUCUGUGCCUAACGCAGGCCCCUUGCCUUCUGAUCCAUCCCUUGUCCUUCCUGGUCCUGCUCUGUAUGUGGGUGGGGGAGGGCUGAUCCCUGUGGUCUGCUUUCCUGAAGCAUUCAGGUUUGUGGCUGACUGUGGGCCAAUGGGGGCACAAAAGAGAUGGGGGAGGCCAGCAGGAAGAGAACUCAAGAGGCACCUCUGGCAUGGGUUUGUCAUAUAGUGGCUGCAUUUCCCACUGGAUGCCCCUGGUCUCUGGGCUCAGAUAAUAUCAGUCUUCUGCUAUCACUCUAGCUCACUAGGAAAGUACUUUCUUGCUGUUGCUAAUCUCUGAAUUACCACAUCAUCCUCUAUUUGGCUUCACUUCUCCUUGAACACAUGCAUAAGCAGUGCCCUUUGUAUUAAAUAUUUAGAGAAGUUUCCCGAUCGGGCCUUGGUUGUUGCAACUUCUAAGGUCAACCCUCUCUGUGUCUGGUAUCCUAUCCCCAUUCACACCACCUUCUCUACAACUUCAAUUCUGCAAUUACCUCUCUGAACCCAGUAUCUUCUUCCCAGCAGGCUUCAGGCAUACUUUAGUGUCUCCUAUUUAGGUAUCUUCUCUCUCUCUCUCUCUCUCAUUCUGGUACCAAAGGCUGAACCUAGUGGGACUUAACACCUGAGCCACAUUCCCAGCCCUUUUAUAUAUUUUUCAUUUAGAGACAGGGUUUCACUAAGUUAAUGAGGCUGGCUUUGAACUUGUGAUACUCCCGCUUCAGUCUCCUGAGCUGCUAGGAUUACAGACGUGCACUGCCGCACCCAGCAUCUUCUUUUCAAAUUCUUGCUUCUCUUUGCUUCCAUACCCCACCUUAUCAUGGUUUCCUCCUGCCUUCCCUGGCUGUUUUCUCUUGUGCUGAAUUUUUUAUAUACUGGUGUGGCCCCGGCUGUUGUGGGUCCUCCUCUCAAUCUACAUGUUUUCGCUAGGUGACCUCCUCCUGUUACCUGGCUUCUAACACCAUUUAUAUGUCAAUAACUACCAAAUCUGAUCCCCCAGGCUGAAGUAGCCACAUGGCAUCCUCUGUGACAUUACUCUAUUUCAUUUCUCUGCACCACUUAAUGUUUUCUUGAUUUUUUAUUCACUUUUUGUUGUCUUUCCACUAAGUUAAAAGUUUCUUGAGUCAGGUGCACACCUGUAAUCCCAGUGACUUGGGAGGCUAAGUCAGGAGGAUUGCAACUUCAAAGCCAGCCUCAGCAAUUUAUUGAGGCCCCAAGCAACUUAGUGAGACCCUUUCUCUAGAUAAAAUAUAAAAAAGGACUAGGGAUGUGGCUCAAUGGUUAAGUGCCCCUGGAUUCAAUCCCUGGUACAAAAAAAAAAAAAAAAAAGAAAGUAAGUUUCUUGAUCAGGGACCUCAAGGACCUCAUCUAUCUAUUCCUGUUCUUUCCCAGACACUCAGAACAGGGAUCUCUUCUAUGGUUCUUAUUCAACAGAUAUAUUUAUUGAAUCCAUGCAUGACUGAAAACUCCAAUUGAUUGUGACCUGGGUUUCUUAUUUUCAUGGUGAAAAUGAUCCGCAGGAUGUGAUGCUCAACUUUAGUCUCUGAUGCCAUGCUCUGAUCUCCUAAGGAGAGAUGGCACCAUUGCUUUGAUCUUUGGUUGCUCACUUGACUUCUAAGGAGCACACUCAGAAGCAUAAGCCCCACCCUUCAGCACCUUCAGCUCAUGAAUGCAGAUUGGAAGCAGAUUAAUUUGGGGAUAUAUUGGGGGGUGAUAAAUUGAAUGUGAAGGAUGGGCAUGGUGGCACAUGCCUGUUAUCCCAGAAGCUCAGGAGGCUGAGGCAGGAGAAUCAGAAGUUCAAGGCCAUCCUCAAUAACUUAGCAAGACCCUGAGCCACUUAGUGAGACCCUGUGUCUAAUAAAAUAUAAAAAAGGGCUGGGAAUAUAACUCAGUGAUUAAACACCCUGCUUGACUUGGUUUUUUGUUUUAUAGCAUUCAAUAAUUUAGAGACUUAAAGAGCUAAACUCUUAAUUUGGCUGCAUUUAUUUCUUUAUCAUAAAAAUAUUAUGAUUAUAUACCCUAUGAAACAAACUUUACUAUGUUUUUUUUUCUUUCAUAUUUCAGAAUGAAAAGAUUCCAGAACUUGAAUGAUGUUUUCCCCCUUUCUGAGGACUAUUCUGGAUCAGGCUCUGGGUCUGGUUCUGGAUCUGGAUCAGGAUCUGGAAGUGGCUCUGGAAAUGGUUUCCAAAAUGAAAUGGAACAGGAAUACCAACCAGUUGCUGAAAAUGAUGCUUUCUAUUACAACUUCAGGUCUUUCGAGAGCAAUCAGCCCUCAGACAACCACAACUUGGGUCAAGAAGGAUUAGAAGAGGAUUUCAUUAUAUAAAAAUGAAGGUUUCCCCACCUUGAUGCCAGGCGAUGUAUUCAGUGUAUUUUGUGUACCAUGGUUAAAUGAUCAGUCUUGGGACAAAGAGUUUUAUGGAAAUUUUAAAACAUCUGAUAAAAAACCUUAAACUUUAUCACCUUUAUUUCUCAUGAAUUCUUAAAGGAUUAUGCUUUAAUGUUGUUAUCGGUCUUAUUUUUCUGAAAAAUACCUUCUUUUUUGGCACUGGGUAUCAAACCCAGGCCUUCACACAUAAGAGGCAACUGCUUUACCACUGAGCUACAUCCCAGCCUAAUACUUGCAAUUUUUUUGGUUAUCUUGUUCAACCCAACAUCAUUAUGAAAUGAACUAGACUCCCAUUACAUGAAGUUACUUUAAAGAAGAAAAAAUUAUACUGUUUUUUAAAAAUUCAGUCUGUGAAGCAAAUUGAUAGGCAAUAUUUCAUACCUCAAUCUUCAGGCACCUGACUCUGAUUAUGAAUUAUAGAUCUAUCCCUUUUAUUAUGGGAAAAAAAGAUGAAACAGUACAUUUAUAGAGUGGGUAUUUGACAUGGAGUACAAUGUUAAGGGUGGUAUUGUACUGUUACUGUUGGGUGUGUUGCAAAGCUAGAGGACACUGUUCAGCUGAAGUGUGAUUGUUACGAUUAAAAACUUAGGACCCCAGUUAAAGCACAGUUGUGCUUCUCAGUAUCGCAUCCUGCUUUACCUUUUACCACUGGAUAUCUUCAUUUUCAAAUGUUAUUCUAUUAAAGCAGAAGUAUAACCAAAGGGUUAAGCUGUCUGGGAUCUCUUGUUGUAAACUGGGGGAAUAAUUAUUUUUGAUCAGAUGUUUCUCUAAAAGUCCUAAAUUUAAACUUUCAAUCAUGGCUUCCCUGUUGAUGGGGAUGGAUGAUGGUCAGGUACUCAAAUGGAAUCUUGACCCAGGUCUGGCUCACAGGGAUCAUUUUUCCAAUCCUUAAAUAUAUCAUUAAAUGGAUAUGCUUGGUAGUUAG
rnacentral:lncRNA from 1 species